rnacentral:rRNA from 1 species
GUGUCAGCCGCCGCGGUAAUACAGAGGUCUCAACCGUUGUUCGGAUUCAUUGGGCGUAAAGGGUGCGUAGGCGGUCGCGUAAGUCAGGUGUGAAAUCUCAGGGCUCAACCCUGAAACUGCACUUGAUACUGCGUGGCUCGGGUACUGGAGAGGAGACUGGAAUUUACGGUGUAGCAGUGAAAUGCGUAGAUAUCGUAAGGAAGACCAGUGGCGAAGGCGAGUCUCUGGACAGUUACCGACGCUGAGGCACGAAGGUCAGGGGAGCAAACGGGAUUAGAUACCCCCGUAGUCC